UACGUAGGGACCGAGCGUUGUCCGGAUUCAUUGGGCGUAAAGAGCUCGUAGGCGGCUGUUCAAGUCGAACGUGAAAACUCGGAGCUCAACUCCGAGCCUGCGUUCGAUACUGGACGGCUAGAGUCUGGUAGGGGGAUCUGGAAUUCCUGGUGUAGCGGUGGAAUGCGCAGAUAUCAGGAGGAACACCAGUGGCGAAGGCGGUGCUCUGGGCCGGAACUGACGCUGAGGAGCGAAAGCGUGGGGAGCAAACAGG
rnacentral:rRNA from 1 species